AUUGAACGCUGGCGGCAGGCUUAACACAUGCAAGUCGAGCGGUAACAGGAGAAGCUUGCUUCUCGCUGACGAGCGGCGGACGGGUGAGUAAUACUUAGGAAUCUGCCCAGUAGUGGGGGAUAGCUCGGGGAAACUCGAAUUAAUACCGCAUACACCCUACGGGGAAAAGGGGGCACUUGUGCUCUCGCUAUUGGAUGAGCCUAAGUCGGAUUAGCUAGUUGGUGGGGUAAAGGCCUACCAAGGCGACGAUCUGUAGCUGGUCUGAGAGGAUGACCAGCCACACCGGGACUGAGACACGGCCCGGACUCCUACGGGAGGCAGCAGUGGGGAAUAUUGGACAAUGGGGGCAACCCUGAUCCAGCCAUGCCGCGUGUGUGAAGAAGGCCUUUUGGUUGUAAAGCACUUUAAGCAGUGAGGAAGACUCUAUGGUUAAUACCCAUAGACGAUGACAUUAGCUGCAGAAUAAGCACCGGCUAACUCUGUGCCAGCAGCCGCGGUAAUACAGAGGGUGCAAGCGUUAAUCGGAAUUACUGGGCGUAAAGCGAGCGUAGGUGGCUUGAUAAGUCAGAUGUGAAAUCCCCGGGCUUAACCUGGGAACUGCAUCUGAUACUGUUAGGCUAGAGUAGGUGAGAGGGAGGUAGAAUUUCAGGUGUAGCGGUGAAAUGCGUAGAGAUCUGAAGGAAUACCGAUGGCGAAGGCAGCCUCCUGGCAUCAUACUGACACUGAGGUUCGAAAGCGUGGGUAGCAAACAGGAUUAGAUACCCUGGUAGUCCACGCCGUAAACGAUGUCUACUAGUCGUUGGGGAACUUGGUUCCUUAGUGACGCAGCUAACGCAAUAAGUAGACCGCCUGGGGAGUACGGCCGCAAGGUUAAAACUCAAAUGAAUUGACGGGGGCCCGCACAAGCGGUGGAGCAUGUGGUUUAAUUCGAUGCAACGCGAAGAACCUUACCUGGUCUUGACAUAUCUAGAAUCCUGCAGAGAUGCGGGAGUGCCUUCGGGAAUUAGAAUACAGGUGCUGCAUGGCUGUCGUCAGCUCGUGUCGCGAGAUGUUGGGUUAAGUCCCGCAACGAGCGCAACCCUUUUCCUUAGUUACCAGCGGUUUGGCCGGGGACUCUAAGGAUACUGCCAGUGACAAACUGGAGGAAGGCGGGGACGACGUCAAGUCAUCAUGGCCCUUACGACCAGGGCUACACACGUGCUACAAUGGUAGGUACAGAGGGCAGCUACACAGCGAUGUGAUGCGAAUCUCAAAAAGCCUAUCGUAGUCCAGAUUGGAGUCUGCAACUCGACUCCAUGAAGUCGGAAUCGCUAGUAAUCGCGGAUCAGAAUGCCGCGGUGAAUACGUUCCCGGGCCU
rnacentral:rRNA from 1 species